rnacentral:rRNA from 1 species
ACGGCUACCUUGUUACGACUUAGCCCCAGUCACCGGUUUUACCUUAGGGCGCUCCUUGCGGUUGCACACUUCAGGCACUCCCGGCUUCCAUGGCUUGACGGGCGGUGUGUACAAGGCCCGGGAACGUAUUCACCGCGCCGUGGCUGAUGCGCGAUUACUAGCGAAUCCAGCUUCAUGGAGUCGGGUUGCAGACUCCAAUCCGAACUGAGACAGGCUUUGAAGUUCCGCUCUGCGUCGCCGCAUCGCUUCUCUCUGUACCUGCCAUUGUAACACGUGUGUCGCCCCGGACGUAAGGGCCGUGCUGAUUUGACGUCAUCCCCGCCUUCCUCACAGCUUGCGCCGGCAGUCUCGCCAGAGUCCCCAACUUUACUUGCUGGUAACUGGCGAUGGGGGUUGCGCUCGUUAUGGCACUUAAGCCGACACCUCACGGCACGAGCUGACGACAACCAUGCAGCACCUCGACGGAUGUCCCGUANGACUGCCUCCUUUCAGAGACAUCCAUCCGUCGUUUGAGCCCGGGUAAGGUUCCUCGCGUAUCAUCGAAUUAAACCACAUGUUCCUCCGCUUGUGCGGGCCCCCGUCA